UCCGGUAGACGCUACGGACUUAAAUAAUUUGAGCGUUAGUAGAAAAACUUACUAAAUGCUAGCUUUCAGAUUCAGGGAAACUUAGGUUGAUAAAAAUAUAAGCAAUCCUGAGCCAAAUCUUAUUUCGUUUGAAAAUAAAAUAGGUGCAGAGACUCAAUGGAAGCUAUCCUAACGAAUAACAUUUUAAAAAUUAUUUAAAAUUUAUUUUUUAGAUAUUAAGCGAGGAUAAAGAUAGAGUCCAAUUUUACAUGUUAAUUUUAGCAACAAUUUAAAUUGUAGUAGAAAGAAAAUCCGUUGGCUUUAUUGACCGUGAGGGUUCAAGUCCCUCUACCCCCA
rnacentral:tRNA from 1 species